UAUAUUCACUCUUCUACAAUUCACAACCAUUUAGUUGCGUGUCGGUUUUUUUUCAAUAUGUAAACAACCAUUUAGUUGCGUGUCGGUUUAUUUUCAAUUUAUAAACAACCAUUAAAUUAUUUGUAUGUGUUCACAUUAGGAAAUUACAGCUUGUGAAAUAAAAUUCAAUGAAGACUUUCAAUUCAAAUGGUGCAAAUAUUUAGGUAUUCGUUAAAUAGUAUUAAAAAGAUUAAAGGCGUUCUUUCUUUCUAUCACGACUACAUUCUAUGGUUGCCAAUGAUUCGUAAACUAUUGCAGCAGCUAGCAAGCCGUUUUGGAAAUCAUAUACUGCCCACUGGGCAUUUCUCCGAAUUCAGAAAAAACGAAAAUUGAACGGAAGGCACGAGUGGACUCAUGAGAGAUAUGAGCAGAUGUGUUUUUCAUUAUCAUCAUGCAAUGGCGUAAAGUUUGAUUUCAGAAUUUCCUUUUCUGUUGAAAAGUUGAAGAGUGAGCACAGCAGCGGAAGUGUGCAUCGUGUACUGCCUCCUUCUCUCAUUCGUUCUCUCAUAUCGGCCCAUUAUAGUCUGCAUC